rnacentral:lncRNA from 1 species
AAUCGUCAAUGCGACGUCCUCCUACUCCCACCUCAGAGCUGUCACAGAGACUGUCAGUUCCGUCCCUCCCCUUCAGCCCUUUAACGCACGUCUUCCCGACCGCAUAACUUGCUCAGUCCCUGCGGCCAACUGGGGCGGGCCAAUGGCUGUGACGGAUAAGGGGUGUGGGGUGCGGGGACAAUGGGCCAGAGCUUCUCAUGCAGCCUGCACCAGCGCCGGGUCGGAGAGUCAGAGGCCACCCUGAGAUGGACCGAGAUCUUCAGUUGGGGAGGCGCCUCCGGUGAGCUUGCGGCCAGAUGCCCCCUCAGUAGUCCUCCGCAACAGGUGCCGCGCAGCCGAGUGGCGGGCUAGCAUACCGCCUGCCCGCAAUUCGGCCAGGCCUCGAGCCUGCUCCGCCUUCCCGCUGCGGUAGCGCCGCCGGGGAAACGCCGCCACGGGCUGCAUGGGCAGCGCUCGCGCCCCGCCGCUGAGCCGCCGGGGAGCCGUCCAGUCUUCGAAUCCCACCACAGCAUGUUCCGAAGAGAUGAUUGGAAGAUGGAAGUGGAGGGUUAAAUAAUGAAAUGCAGCUAACAUUUCGGAAAGUUUCUAAAAGUUGUACAACAUGCCCUACAGCUACUCUUUAAAUCUCCAAAUCAAAUGAGUUUCAGGUGGAGCCUCUGGGAGGUGAUGAGGUCAUGAGAGUGGAGCCUCAUGAAUGGGAUGAGCACUCCUACAAAAAGGAUUCCAGAGAGCUCGCUUGCUCCUUCCACAGUGUGAGGACACAGAGGGAAGGCUCUGUCUAUGAAUGAGAAAGUGGGUCCCCACCAGACAUUGAAUCUGCCGCAUCUUGAUACUGGACUUCCAGUCUCCAGAACUGUGGGCAAUAAAUGUCUGUUGUUUAUUACCUGUCCAGUAUCUUUGGUAUUUUGCUAUAGCAACCCAAAUGGACUAAGAAAACACCAGAGGCCAUACCUAAUAAAAAUAUUGACAUCACAAAAAAAAAAAAAAA